UACGGAAGGCAGCAGUGGGGAAUAUUGCACAAUGGGCGCAAGCCUGAUGCAGCCAUGCCGCGUGUAUGAAGAAGGCCUUCGGGUUGUAAAGUACUUUCAGUCGUGAGGAAGGUGUUAAGGUUAAUAACCUUAGCAAUUGACGUUAGCGACAGAAGAAGCACCGGCUAACUCCGUGCCAGCAGCCGCGGUAAUACGGAGGGUGCGAGCGUUAAUCGGAAUUACUGGGCGUAAAGGGCACGCAGGCGGUUAAUUAAGUUGGAUGUGAAAUCCCCGGGCUUAACCUGGGAAUGGCAUUCAAGACUGGUUAGCUAGAGUCUUGUAGAGGGGGUAGAAUUCCAUGUGUAGCGGUGAAAUGCGUAGAGAUGUGGAGGAAUACCGGUGGCGAAGGCGGCCCCUGGACAAAGACUGACGCUCAUGUGCGAAAACGUGGGGAGCAAACAGGGAUUAGAUACC
rnacentral:rRNA from 1 species